rnacentral:lncRNA from 1 species
UGGAAUAAGCCUUGUCGACUUGAAUCUUUGGGCACCGAAGCAAGGUCGUAUACUCCUCCACAGUAGGCGUCAAAUCUACUUUCCCAAAAGUGAAACAACUGUAGGCAGGAUUCCAAAACUGAGCAAGGGCUCGGAAUAAAUACUUGUCCACUUUGACACUAAGCAGAUAAGGUAGGUCACCGUAGUUACAAUAGAACAGCUGCUUGGCCUCGACAUCCCAUUGAUCCCAGACUUCUUUCAUUUCUCGAAGGUCAUUCUGGAUUACACUGAUACGGGUAAAAU